GUAACGGCGAGUGAAGCGGUAACAGCUCAAAUUUGAAAUCUGGCCUCACGGUCCGAGUUGUAAUUUGUAGAGGAUGCUUCGAGCAUGGUCUGGCCUAAGUUCCUUGGAACAGGACGUCAUAGAGGGUGAGAAUCCCGUAUGCGGCCAGGUGCCUACGCUCAUGUGAAGCUCCUUCGACGAGUCGAGUUGUUUGGGAAUGCAGCUCAAAAUGGGUGGUAAAUUUCAUCUAAAGCUAAAUAUUGGCCAGAGACCGAUAGCGCACAAGUAGAGUGAUCGAAAGAUGAAAAGCACUUUGGAAAGAGAGUUAAACAGUACGUGAAAUUGUUGAAAGGGAAGCGCUUGCAACCAGACUUGCGCGCGGCCGAUCAUCCGGUGUUCUCACCGGUGCACUCGGCCGUGCUCAGGCCAGCAUCGGUUUUGGCGGCUGGACAAAGGCCCUAGGAAUGUAGCUCCUCUCGGGGAGUGUUAUAGCCUAGGGUGCAAUGCAGCCUGCUGGGACCGAGGACCGCGCUUCGGC
rnacentral:rRNA from 1 species